UAGUCGAGGAGUCGGGCGUGGAUAAUAAUCGGGUAUNAAGUUGUCUACCGAAGCAGUGGGAUCAUUAAUAUGAUCGGUAGGGGAGCAUUCCAGUCGGCGUCGAAGGCGUACCGUGAGGUAUUCUGGAGCGUCUGGAAAAGCAAAUGUAGGUAUAAGUAACGAUAAAGGGGGCGGGAAACCCCCUCGCCGAAAGACUAAGGUUUCCUGAUCAACGCUAAUCGGAUCAGGGUCAGUCGGGUCCUAAGGCUCAGCCGAACGGCGAUGCCGAUGGCAGAAACGGUUAAUAUUCCGUUACUACCUUCAGGAGUGACGUGGAGACGCAGUAGUGACAGUGCCGCCAUCUGACGGAAUAGAUGGUUGAAGGGUGUAGGAGUCGAUCAUGGCAGGCAAAUCCACCAUGAGAUCCGAACCUGAUAGUAUGCCGCGUCCUUCGGGACAAGGCAAUAGUGCGCGUAAGCAUGCUGCCGAGAAAAUCCGCUAAACUUAAUCCUGGAGGUACCCGUACCGCAAACGGACACACGUAGUCGGGAUGAAUAUUUAAGGCGC
rnacentral:rRNA from 2 species